GAGAGAAUCUGAGGUCCAGUGGAGAGAGGCUAAGGCAGAGUGGAGAGAAGCUGGUGUUUAGGGGAGAGAAGAGGGGAUCCAGGGGAGAGAAGCUGAGGACUAGUGGGGAGGAUUUGAGAUCCACUGGAGAUAGACGUUGGUCAAUUGCAGAGAAGCUGGGAUCCAGUAGGGAGAAGCUGGGGACUAGUGGAGGGAAGCUGGAGGGUUUAAGAAUGGGGAGCAUAAAUGAAAAGAAAAUUGAAAGAAUGGUAGAAGUUACCAGUGAUGAAAGAUUGAUAGAAAUUACUGAUGCUGAGAAGGCAAUUCCUUCUGAAAGGGUAGAGGAGACUGAUGAAGAGCUACAAGAGACUGAGAAAGGGGUGGAGGUUGAGGAGGAUGUCUUGGAUGGAAGGAAUGAUAAUACUGAUGAAUCUGUUUCUAUGGAAGAGAAAGAGAUUACAGAGGAAGGUACUGAUGAAGGAGGCACAUGAAGGAUUUAAGCAAAAGAAGGAAAGAGAAGCAGCUAGCGGAAGUAUUGCCAAGUCAAAAAGGAGAAAUUAGAGCCAAGCAGAACAUUAUUGACCCAGGAAAGGUAAAUAUGAGAAAGAAGGGAGAGCAUCUGAGCUUAAGAGAAUUGUUACUGGGAAUGAAGGCAGAGACCAGGACCAAAGGAAGUGAAGAAGAGUGAUAAAGAGUGAAAUGGAACAUUGUGAGAAGAAAGAGAAGAUUUAUUAGUGUGUUGAUAGAGGAAAAGUGGAUGUUGGUUUCUUGGAGAAGAGCUGUGACUGAGGAGCUUGUCGAGAAAGGUUUGAGAAAUGGAUUUAGGAUGGGCUAGAAGAAUGUAGUUUAACAUAUGAUGGGGUUUAUGAGAUGUAGGAGAAUGCAUAGGGAGAAAAAUGGGAAGUUACAGCCAGAUAAGGAUAGAGAAUGAAGGUUGUGAAAGAAGAUGCAGGCUGGAGUAAAUGAAGACAAUUUCUGAAAGAGGUCCGAAAGAAAAAUGAGGAGCUCCAAAGUGACAAAAGCCAGAGCAGAGAUAAGAAAAUAAAGAAGUGAAGAAAAAAAUCUCUGCCUUCCCGAGAUCAUCCACUUCUGGCCUCCUCUGAUGAUUAUCUGAGUACCGAAAAAUGGUUGCCUCUCUUAUGAGAGGCCCUCACGGGCAUGAGGUCAAGACGGGCCGUUUUCGGUGCAGUGGGCCUCUCAGAUUGCGCUGCACAGUAUAUAAAUUGUGAACCAAAUAAUCAGACUUGUUCUUCGGCUGGAUUACACUUUCUCCCGGAGUAUCAGAUGCAUUCCACUGAGACCACAGAAAGAAAACACAAAGAUCAAGAAACCGUGACACCAGCUUGUUCUGCCCAGCAGAUCCACUGGAAUCCUGUGGAUUGAUCGGAUCCCCUUGCUUCAAGCCAGCAGCCAAGCUGUUGCUCUUCCCAGCUCACAGAGCAGCUUUCUCAGCCUUCAGCGCCCCCGCAUCUCAGCUGCAGUUUGUCAUAUUGGAUGGCGUGAGUGUGGCUCCCAAAAGCUGGAGCCCGGCCAUACCACCUGCACACGGAGCAGCAGAGGGAGGAGAGACUGCAGGACUCUCUCUGGCAAAUUCUCACCUGCACCUCCAGGUCAGACCCCACCCAACAUCAAGGAUGAUUCUGCAGAGUGAGCAGCUCCCCUCACCUGGACAGCAACAGCAGGUGCACAGACCACCCAGACACCCG